rnacentral:lncRNA from 1 species
GGGGCUGAAGAGGCGGCGGCGGCCGCGGAGGGCGCCGUCGCGCCGUAUCUGGCGGCGGCGGAGAGGGAUCGCCUGGAAACCCUAAGCAUUUUCUCUUCGUCGUCCUCUCGAGGGUUUCAAGGGUUUGCGAUGGAGAAUGGAGGAGGAGAAUUAGGGUUUUAGGAGGGAGUUUAUGGAGAAAUGGGCUUUGCAGUGGAGCUGCUUAUAAUAUGGGGGGGAGCUUCUGGAUACAAGAAGGGCACGUAGGGUGCGGGGAUCCAACGGCUGCGAUUGUGCGA